rnacentral:rRNA from 1 species
UACGUAGGGUGCGAGCGUUAAUCGGAAUUACUGGGCGUAAAGGGUGCGCAGGCGGCGUCGCAAGUCAGGCGUGAAAUCCCCGGGCUUAACCUGGGAACUGCACUUGAAACUGCGAUGCUGGAGUAUGGCAGAGGGAGGUGGAAUUCCACGUGUAGCGGUGAAAUGCGCAGAUAUCAGGAAGAACACCCGUGGCUAAGGCGGCUCUCUAGUACGGUACUGACGCUGAGACGCGAAAGCGUGGGGAGCGAACAGG